rnacentral:rRNA from 1 species
GAUCAUGGCUCAGGAUGAACGCUAGCGACAGGCUUAACACAUGCAAGUCGAGGGGCAGCAUAAUGAAGUAGCAAUACGGAAUUGAUGGCGACCGGCGCACGGGUGCGUAACGCGUAUGUAACCUACCUCUAACAGGGGGAUAACACUGAGAAAUUGGUACUAAUACCCCAUAACACUUCGGAGGGCAUCCUCUGGGGUUGAAAGUUCCGGCGGUUAGAGAUGGGCCUGCGGCGCAUUAGCUAGUUGGUGAGAUAACGGCCCACCAAGGCGACGAUGCGUAGCCGAACUGAGAGGUUGAUCGGCCACAUUGGGACUGAGACACGGCCCAAACUCCUACGGGAGGCAGCAGUUAGGAAUAUUCGUCAAUGGGGGAAACCCUGAUGCAGCGACGCCGCGUGAGCGAUGAAGUAUUUCGGUAUGUAAAGCUCUAUCAGCAAGGAAGAUAAUGACGGUACUUGACUAAGAAGCCCCGGCUAACUACGUG